UAUGUACUCCAUCCGUUCUGAAUUACUUGUCACAAAAAUAGAUGUAUCUACAACUAAAAUACAUUUAGAUACAUUCAUUUAUUGGACGAGUAAUUCCGAACGGAGGGAGUAUGUA
rnacentral:pre_miRNA from 1 species